rnacentral:rRNA from 1 species
UACGUAGGGUGCAAGCGUUAAUCGGAAUUACUGGGCGUAAAGCGUGCGCAGGCGGUUAUGUAAGACAGUUGUGAAAUCCCCGGGCUCAACCUGGGAACUGCAUCUGUGACUGCAUAGCUAGAGUACGGUAGAGGGGGAUGGAAUUCCGCGUGUAGCAGUGAAAUGCGUAGAUAUGCGGAGGAACACCAAUGGCGAAGGCAGCACUCUGGGACGUGACUGACGCUGAGACGCGAAAGCGUGGGGAGCAAACAGG